AAUACUUAAAUAUUUAAAAAAUUCUUUAUUAAUAAAAUUAUUUUUAUUUAUUUAAUUAUUUUGUGGGGGUGAUAAAAAAAUAAGUUAAACUUUUUUUAAUUGGUAACAUAGAUAAGUGUUUAAAUGAUCCAAUUUUAUUGAUUAUAA
rnacentral:rRNA from 1 species